rnacentral:rRNA from 1 species
GCUCAGCCGUCAACAAAGACAGUAUAAGAUACAAUACUGUUCGCCGGAGAACUACAAGCUAAAGCUAAAAACUCCAAGGACUUGGCGGUGCUCCACAUCCCCCUAGAGGAGCCUGUCCUAUAAUCGAUACCCCACGAUCUACCUCACCAUUUUUUGAAACUCAGCCUAUAUACCGCCGUCGUCAGCCUACCUUAUGAAAGAAGCACAGUAAGCGAAAUAGUCACCAACUAAAACGUCAGGUCAAGGUGUAGCACAUAAAAUGGAAGAGAUGGGCUACACUCUCUCCCCCAGAGAACACGAACAGCAUCAAUGAAACACUGCUCAAAGGCGGAUUUAGUAGUAAGAUAAACAAGAGAGCUUAUCUUAAACCAGCCCUGGAGCGCGC